rnacentral:rRNA from 1 species
UGGGGAAUAUUGCACAAUGGGGGAAACCCUGAUGCAGCGACGCCGCGUGAAGGAAGAAGUAUCUCGGUAUGUAAACUUCUAUCAGCAGGGAAGAAAAUGACGGUACCUGACUAAGAAGCCCCGGCUAACUACUUGCCAGCAGCCGCGGUAAUACGUAGGGGGCAAGCGUUAUCCGGAUUUACUGGGUGUAAAGGGAGCGUAGACGGAAGAGCAAGUCUGAUGUGAAAGGCUGGGGCUUAACCCCAGGACUGCAUUGGAAACUGUUUUUCUAGAGUGCCGGAGAGGUAAGCGGAAUUCCUAGUGUAGCGGUGAAAUGCGUAGAUAUUAGGAGGAACACCAGUGGCGAAGGCGGCUUACUGGACGGUAACUGACGUUGAGGCUCGAAAGCGUGGGGAGCAAACAGG